UACGGGGGGGGCAAGCGUUGUUCGGAAUUACUGGGCGUAAAGGGCUCGUAGGUGGCCAACUAAGUCAGACGUGAAAUCCCUCGGCUUAACCGGGGAACUGCGUCUGAUACUGGAUGGCUUGAGUUUGGGAGAGGGACGCGGAAUUCCAGGUGUAGCGGUGAAAUGCGUAGAUAUCUGGAGGAACACCGGUGGCGAAGGCGGCGUCCUGGACCAACACUGACACUGAGGAGCGAAAGCCAGGGGAGCAAAGCGGG
rnacentral:rRNA from 1 species